rnacentral:rRNA from 1 species
CCCUAUGGGGUGCGGCCCUGGACAAGUUGCUCGUUACUUGCAUGAGCAGGGCGUUCGGGUUUGUGGCGUUGACCUGUCGCCAGCGAUGGUGGAAACAGCGCGACGUCUGACUCCGGGGGUCGAGUUUCAACCGGGCGACAUGAUGGCGCUGGACGCACCCGACGGAGCUUGGGCUGGCAUCGCAGCUUUUUACUCCAUCAUCCACAUACCCCGUAGCGACAUGACGCAGGCGCUGGGCGAGCUUCGGAGAGUUCUACGCCCGGACGGUUUGUUGCUGCUGGCCUUCCACAUUGGCGACGAUACCAUUCAUCUGGACGAGUGGCGGGAGGGC